rnacentral:rRNA from 1 species
AACGAACGCUGGCGGCAGGCUUAACACAUGCAAGUCGAGCGCCCUGCAAGGGGGGCGGCAGACGGGUGAGUAACGCGUGGGAAUCUACCGAGCCCUGCGGAAUAGCUCCGGGAAACUGGAAUUAAUACCGCAUACGCCCUACGGGGGAAAGAUUUAUCGGGGUUUGAUGAGCCCGCGUUGGAUUAGCUAGUUGGUGGGGUAAAGGCCUACCAAGGCGACGAUCCAUAGCUGGUCUGAGAGGAUGAUCAGCCACAUUGGGACUGAGACACGGCCCAAACUCCUACGGGAGGCAGCAGUGGGGAAUAUUGGACAAUGGGGGCAACCCUGAUCCAGCCAUGCCGCGUGAGUGAUGAAGGCCUUAGGGUUGUAAAGCUCUUUCACCGGAGAAGAUAAUGACGGUAUCCGGAGAAGAAGCCCCGGCUAACUUCGUGCCAGCAGCCGCCGUAAGAC